rnacentral:rRNA from 1 species
UAUCGAGAGAUUAAAGGGUGGGACUUUCGGGCCACCUGCCAUAAGAUGAGCCCAAGUGGGAUUAGGUAGUUGGUGGGGUAAAGGCCUACCAAGCCUGCGAUCUCUAGCUGGUCUGAGAGGAUGGCCAGCCACACUGGAACUGAGACACGGUCCAGACUCCUACGGGAGGCAGCAGUGGGGAAUAUUGCACAAUGGGGGGAACCCUGAUGCAGCCAUGCCGCGUGAAUGAAGAAGGCCUUCGGGUUGUAAAGUUCUUUCGGUGAUGAGGAAGGCGGGUAUUUUAAUAGAAUACUUGAUUGACGUUAGUCACAGAAGAAGCACCGGCUAACUCCGUGCCAGCAGCCGCGGUAAUACGGAGGGUGCGAGCGUUAAUCGGAAUAACUGGGCGUAAAGGGCACGCAGGCGGAUUGUUAAGUGAGAUGUGAAAGCCCCGAGCUUAACUUGGGAAUUGCAUUUCAGACUGGCAGUCUAGAGUAUUUUAGGGAGGGGUAGAAUUCCACGUGUAGCGGUGAAAUGCGUAGAGAUGUGGAGGAAUACCGAAGGCGAAGGCAGCCCCUUGGGAAUAUACUGACGCUCAUGUGCGAAAGCGUGGGGAGCAAACAGGAUUAGAUACCCUGGUAGUCCACGCUGUAAACGAUGUUGAUUUGGGGAUUGGGCUUUAAGCUUGGUGCCCGUAGCUAACGUGAUAAAUCAACCGCCUGGGGAGUACGGCCGCAAGGUUAAAACUCAAAUGAAUUGACGGGGGCCCGCACAAGCGGUGGAGCGUGUGGUUUAAUUCGAUGCAACGCGAAGAACCUUACCUACU